UCCCUGCCGCCGCCGAGUCGUGUGGAGGCGGAGGCUUGUGUGCUUUCAAGAUUCGGCUUCACCGGUAACCCACCGCCAUGGCCGAGGAAGGCAUUGCUGCUGGAGGUGUAAUGGACGUUAAUACUGCUUUACAAGAGGUGCUGAAGACCGCCCUCAUCCACGAUGGCCUUGCACGUGGAAUUCGCGAAGCUGCCAAAGCCUUAGACAAGCGCCAAGCCCAUCUUUGUGUGCUCGCAUCCAACUGUGAUGAGCCCAUGUAUGUCAAGUUGGUGGAGGCCCUUUGUGCUGAACACCAAAUCAACCUAAUUAAGGUUGAUGACAACAAGAAACUAGGGGAGUGGGUAGGCCUUUGUAAAACUGACAGAGAAGGGAAACCCUGGAAGGUGGUUGGUUGCAGUUGUGUAGUAGUUAAGGACUAUGGCAAAGAAUCUCAGGCCAAGGAUGUCAUCGAAGAGUGCUUCAAAUGCAAGAAGUGAACAAAUAAAAACUUUGGCUCA